GUCUGAUGUUCUCUUUCAGGUCAUGCAUUUAUCCAUUAAUGUUCCAUCACUGAGCUCUUCAGGUUUCUGCUCUGUAUUUUCCUGAUUCACCUUUGGAAUACACCUGGCUUUCUGCAGCAAUGCUUGUGUAGCUGUUGUGGGUGAGUGCCCUUCGCAGAGAGCAUCAGUGGUUUGCUGUAACACCAGGACCUGAAAACAGGUAUCACAGCCACACAGCAAAGUUUAUUUGCUCCUUCCUUUUGUUCUAGCUGCAUUUAUUUCAAAGCCAGAGUGAGAGGUGGCAGAAUGCAGGGCACUGACUUUUUUUGUGUGUUUGUUUCUUGCAGCAUAUCUCAUCUUAGGAUAAUACCUGAGCCUUCCAGGGCAACAGUAGACUUUGGAACCAGGAUGCUCUUGUUCCUUCAGCAGCAUUUUAGCUACUUACUGGCUGAAAUGUUCACCCAGAGGCUGGAGAUACCCAGAGGUUAUGGAACAUGGCUGAGGAUGAUCCUCAAGAAGCCUGUCCAGCAGGUAUGCCUGUGUCUGGAUGAGAUAGAGAGCAAUUUACCGAUUUCAUCCACACGAUGGAUGUGGAGGAGAAGCCAUAGAGGAUGA
ensembl:lncRNA